rnacentral:rRNA from 1 species
GUCUAUGGCCAUACCACCCUGAAUGUACCCGAUCUUGUCUGAUCUCAGAAGCUAAGCAGAGUUGGGCCUGGCUAGUACUUGGUGAAAUAAUAGAAUUGGUGUUCUACUGUGAUUGUUAACU